AUUGAACGCUGGCGGCAGGCUUAACACAUGCAAGUCGAGCGGAGACUUCGGUCUUAGCGGCGAACGGGUGAGUAAUACCUAGGAAUCUGCCUAUUAGUGGGGGAUAACGAAUCGAAAGGUUCGCUAAUACCGCAUACGUCCUACGGGAGAAAGGGGGGGAUCUUCGGACCUCUCGCUAAUAGAUGAGCCUAGGCCGGAUUAGCUAGUUGGUAGGGUAAAGGCCUACCAAGGCGACGAUCUGUAGCUGGUCUGAGAGGAUGGCCAGCCACACUGGAACUGAGACACGGUCCAGACUCCUACGGGAGGCAGCAGUGGGGAAUAUUGGACAAUGGGGGCAACCCUGAUCCAGCCAUGCCGCGUGUGUGAAGAAGGCC
rnacentral:rRNA from 1 species